ensembl:lincRNA 1700018A04Rik RIKEN cDNA 1700018A04 gene
AUGCCCGAGACAACCAUCAGGAUCGUAAACGUGCAACAGCUUUAUACCAGGUGAAUGUGUGAGCAAACAGAUCAGAGGUUCUACCUGCCAGGUGGCUCUCCAGGUGUGUCCUGUGAUUCCCCACGCUCGCCUGCAGGCUGCACUGUUGCCGUGGUUAUCUCCCAGGCUACCACAGCAGGCAAUUCAAACAGGUUGUGUCAACACUGCAGGUAGACACUGAAUCCGCACCAGCCAAGGCUGAAAACGGUUGCAGCCGUGAGAACUGUGGACUCUGAGAAGCAAGGAAAGGAGCCCACUCAGAGCUCCAAGAGUGCGCAUGCGUGGAGGACCACCUACUGAAGCAUGGCUAUCUUUCACGGACACAUUCCUGAAGAAAACAGAUGCUGGUGCCAGGCCAAGGAAAGGACCAGGAACGAGGUUCUCCACACAUCCUCCAUCCGUGCGUUCCAGGGCUCGUGGGUUUGCUUCAGCCAAAACCUCGAACGAGCCACAUCCUUGUGUUCUUGACUGUGAUGAGGUCUUUUAUUGCAUUUAUAAAUGUUCCCCCUGGGGCUAUUACUCAAAAGGGUUCAUCUAAUGAAUAAGACAACUAAC